GGCAACUUUCCCUUUGCACAGGUUUUCAUAAAUCUCCCACUCAGUGUUUAUCCACUUCAUGAAUGGAAGACCAAGAUUGGAGGAUUAAUUCCCCACCCACUAUUAUUGAGCAAACAACAGUAACCACCAAGCUAUUAAGCUUCUCCUAUCCACCAUUGCUGAGGGAGUUUCAGCCAAUGAAGUCUGUUUGAAGUUCCUACACUAAUGUUGUGCCUAGAAAGUACAACAUAAUCGGAACUUGGUGAAGAAGAUGGAAGAAGACUGUACCUCUAGUGUCACUUUUAGACAUCUACUCUGCAUGUCAAUGUCUGACUUAUCAAACAGCCAUAAAAGCUAGAACAUAAAGGCACUUAAACAAGUCACCUUGAAGUCAGAGGUAAAGUAUUUGAUUCUUUAUAGGCCUCAAGUUAAUCCUCUCCAGCACUUCUGUGUCUCAGCAGCCUUCAUACAUCACGGUGACAGUAUCUUAAAACUAUAAGUGCACAGUUUAUAGAGGUAUAACAGUGUAACGAUAGCUGUGAUAACAUUGGGUCCUGUACUAGAAUCUUUUAUAAGGUAGCAUUUUUAAAUUUGUAAGAAAAACAUUUUAUUUAUUUUUUGUCUCAAACGAGGAUACAAAUCCAUACCGUCAAUACUGGAGAUGCACAUAACAAGACCUCACUAAGCCUUAUUAAGUGCGAGCAAAUGUCAACAUGUCCUGUAAAAUCUAAGUAAGUGCAAGCAUGUCUUGCUUUCUGUAGCAAAGAUUGACUUUUACAAACCGGAAUUUACAAAUAGUUUA